rnacentral:lncRNA from 1 species
AGAGCACUCUUGGUACCAUAUUCUGCUGAACUCUGAUUAUAUUCAAUGGGGAUCAGGCCUCUACUCCACCCUAGAACGCCUUUUGCUCUCAAAGGAAAUAAGUGUAAGAACAUAUUGGGUGUUGCAUCCUGGGCACCUCCUCUUCCUCUGCCUUCUCUGAAGCAGAUGCUCUGGCCAGUCUACAGCUUCCAGGAUGAUUUUCCCAUCAGAGCGCUGAAGCUGAGAACGAACAGCAUAUCACAGCUAACUCGGAAAAAUGAGGAUGCAGACAUAAGGACUUGGAGCUGCUCCUGUGUGUAAGGGAGUGACCCCACCUUGCACGCUCAGAGGUGCAGGGCCACCUGUGCCCUGCUGUGACCGCUGGCCUGCAGAGUGCUCGGUGCCAGUGUCUCCCUGCCUGGUGUUGAAGAUGUUGCCCUUAGGUCUUUUUCUGCCUGCUUAUGGCAAUCCAAGUGGACAUUUGGCACAGCCUUUGCAAUCACAAUGAAAACCGCUAUCGUUGCAUGGGGAGAAUUUUGUCCUAGUGCAAAAGGUGGCUAUGUACAAGGGAGGACGCAGUGAUGCUCCCAAGGGAAACAGUUAGGAAACUUAAAUAAACAGUUGCUCGGUCACUUCA